rnacentral:RNase_P_RNA from 2 species
GCAGAAAUGAGGUCUGUCGCUUGGAGGAGAGCCUCCAAGAGGAAAGUCCGGGCAACAUCGGGCACCAUGUUUCCUAACGGGAAGCCGACGGCGACGUCGGGGAUAAGUGACAGAAAACGACCGCCUCUCAGGAGGUAAGGGUGAAAAGGCGGGGUAAGAGCCCACCGGCUCCUGUGGCGACACAGGAGGCCGCACAUCCCAUGGGUUGCAAGGCCAAAUACACCGGCAGUCAAGGGCUGCCCGUCCAUUGCCGGGGGGUAGGCUGCUUGAGCCCGCGGGCAACCGCGUGGAGUAGAUAAAUGACAGGCACCGUCUUCUCUUUAUGACAGACGGCACAUAACCCGGCUUAUAUCAUUUCUGCCGCC